rnacentral:rRNA from 1 species
UACGUAGGGUGCAAGCGUUAAUCGGAAUUACUGGGCGUAAAGCGUGCGCAGGCGGUGAUGUAAGACAGAUGUGAAAUCCCCGGGCUCAACCUGGGAACUGCAUUUGAGACUGCAUCGCUGGAGUGCGGGAGAGGGGGAUGGAAUUCCGCGUGUAGCAGUGAAAUGCGUAGAUAUGCGGAGGAACACCGAUGGCGAAGGCAAUCCCCUGGGCCUGCACUGACGCUCAUGCACGAAAGCAUGGGGAGCAAACAGG